AUUGAACGCUGGCGGCAUGCCUUACACAUGCAAGUCGAACGGUAACAGGUCUUCGGAUGCUGACGAGUGGCGAACGGGAGAGUAAUACAUCGGAACGUGCCCGAUCGUGGGGGAUAACGAAGCGAAAGCUUUGCUAAUACCGCAUAAGAUCUACGGAUGAAAGCAGGGGACCGCAAGGCCUUGCGCGAACGGAGCGGCCGAUGGCAGAUUAGGUAGUUGGUGGGAUAAAAGCUUACCAAGCCGACGAUCUGUAGCUGGUCUGAGAGGACGACCAGCAACACUGGGACUGAGACACGGGCCAGACUCCUACGGGGGGCAGCGGUGGGGAAUUUUGGACAAUGGGCGAAAGGCUGAUCCAGCCAUGCCGAGUGUCUGAAGAAGGCCUUCGGGUUGUAAAGGACUUUUGUCCGGAACGAAAAGGACUGCCCUAAUACGGUGGUCCCAUGACGGUACCGUAAGAAUAAGCACCGGCUAACUACGUGCCAGCCGCCGCCGUAAAAC
rnacentral:rRNA from 1 species